rnacentral:misc_RNA from 1 species
AUACUGGAGAAUGGUACAGCAAAAACUGGGAGAGAAAAAGAAAGAGAAAAAUGAACUCUUGCGAAAACAAAGUUCCUUGUGGAUUGAUGAAGGUCGAUUGAAGGAGAGGAUACAAGAAGCCAUGAUUGAUACCAAACUGUUUUGAGUUCCUUUCAGUUUCAGAUUUUGAAUCUGUCCUUGACAAAAUGAAAAUUGAAACUUAAGAAUCAGUUUAGAAAUAAGCAGGGCUUGGUCCAUCCUUAUGAAGAUUUUGGAGUACAAGGGCAACUCUAGUGUCUUUUGGGAGUAGUCUAUGUUUCUGAAUUGUUGAGUUGAUGUUUUUGUCCUGAUAUUAACAAUCUUUACCAUAUCCAUUUACAAGUCCAUUGUAGUGAAUGGUAAAGAUUGUUAAUAUCAGGACAAAAAC